rnacentral:lncRNA from 1 species
AAUAAGUCAAUUUUCUUUUUUCAUUUUCCUGUUGCUAUGUGACAAAGGUAAUAUUCUAUACUUUUUGUAUUAAAGGACUUCAAAUUAUUGAUACUUUAGAUGACUUCUAAAGUUCUUGCCAUAUUCUGAAUGAAGAAUGUGAGCCCCAGGUUAGAAACAUCAACAUGAUGUGGACUAUUCUGAGCUCAACAGAACUGACUGAACUAGCAGGGUGUGUUUUUGCUGCUUCGUCCACUCACACACUGUCUGAGACCCAUUCAUGUCUCUGGAGGUCCCUCACCUUGCGCUGGCUGACUCCCCUGAGGGACUUGCUGGGACGUCCUCAUCCAUCUGCUGUGAACGACCAUUUGGAUCUCUUCCCACUCGGGUUUGUGCGAACAGUGACACCAGGUGCAUCUGAAAUAUGCCACAUGCCCAGGUGCACGUGGGGUGUGUGCAGCUCCCUGACCCCUCUGCGGCGGGACAGCAAUGAGGCCCAGGGCGUAGCGGGGAGGUUUGGGUGUGGGAGCAGGCUGGGGUUGGAGAGAGGACGCUGGAUUCUGGACUUUAUCUAAGGGCUGAGCAGCAGGCGUCAUGGCAGAUCGGGUCUGGUGUUGAACUGACCUGAUUGUCGCAGAGAACUGAUGUUCAUGGUUUCUCUGAAUAACAUAGAAAUGGAUCCUUGUGGUCUUGAAACUUGAGAACGUGACGUGUCUUAUUUGAGUUCCUUUCUCAGAAAACUGACCAUCAGGCCUCCUGGGUAGCGUGAAGGAACAGACUCAGCAGAUCACGGCAUCUGUCAGUCAGGAAAAUGCAUUUGAGGCUGACCUCCCAUCUCCUAGCCUGCAGCUCCUGAUGCACGCCUUCUUCACUGGCAGUAACCAUCGUCUCAGUGACUGGCUUUCUGUGUGCUGAGCAGUAGGAUCUGGAACAAACCCUUGCAUUUUGGAAACAUGGAGAGCAGCCUCAGCAGGCCCCCGGCCCCGAGUGCAGUCAUGACUAUUAAGGACCCACACCAACCCCCAAAGGUGAGUGUGGACAAGAAGAAAAGGCUCCUGAGGAUCCAACCAGGAGAAUUCCUGCAAUGUCACGGAGAAUCAUGGCCACCCGGCCCAUUCCCCCAUUGAAGGGCAGCUGCAAGAUUCAGCUCAUUUGUCUUCUUUCCUGGACAUGUUCAAAUCUCUUUCAACACAACCUUGUGAUCCUGAGAUUCCAUCAAGAUGUGCAUUGUUUUACAAUAUUGCUUUAAUUUACUCUGCCAGCUAUCUGGGGAAAUGCAACCUCAUCAGCAGAAAUUAUUUCCUCCCUGCCGCUUCUGAAAUCUGUUAUUUCCUAUAGCCAGGUACUGAGCCCUUCAACUGAAGUCUAAACCCUCCACCCUCUCCCUCCGGGGUCGCCAAGCCGGUGGUUUGUUCCAUGCUCCCAGGCAGAUUGUGUCAACUCAAAGUCCAACGUGCUUAAGAAAUACUUAAUUUUAGGAGGUUUUUUUUUUAAUGUUUUUGUUUCAUGGAGG